GACCAAAGCCUCGAUGUUCAGAAAGGUUCAAAGACUGUGCAGAAAAGAAGACUGAAAAUAUUUUAAGUUCUCGUAAAGCUGCUCAUGAAAUCUGCAUUCAGGUUAAAUUAAGAAAUGAAACCUUAAAAUGGAUACAGUGGGAAUAUGUAGUAAUGAUGAGAAAAAAGAAAUUUGACAUUCUAUCAAGCAAUGCAAUGAGCAGAAGUAUUGCAGAUAAGAAUCUGAACAAAAGAUCUUGAAUUACCCAUCCGAUGGACUGAAAGAAAUUCACAUUCCUUGGGAAAGUAGGACAAGAUAUCACCUUUAACCUCAUAAUAAGGUUGUCUAAUCAACUUCAGAUCUUGUAAUUCAUAGCUUUUGAGUAUUUGGAUUUUAAU
rnacentral:lncRNA from 1 species